CCUACGGGAGGCAGCAGUAGGGAAUCUUCCACAAUGGGCGCAAGCCUGAUGGAGCAACACCGCGUGAGUGAAGAAGGGUUUCGGCUCGUAAAGCUCUGUUGUUGGAGAAGAACGUGCGUGAGAGUAACUGUUCACGCAGUGACGGUAUCCAACCAGAAAGUCACGGCUAACUACGUGCCAGCAGCCGCGGUAAAACGUAGGUGGGAAGCGUUAGCCGGGUUGUUUGGGCGGAAGGCGAGCGAAGGAGGUUGCUUAGGUCUGCUGCGACAGCCUUCGGCUUAACCGAAGAAGUGCAUCGGAAACCGGGCGACUUGAGUGCAGAAGAGGACAGUGGAACUCCAUUUGUAGCGGUGGAAUGCGUAGAUAUAUGGAAGAACACCAGUGGCGAAGGCGGCUGUCUGGUCUGCAACUGACGCUGAGGCUCGAAAGCAUGGGUAGCGAACAGGAUUAGAUACCCUGGUAGUC
rnacentral:rRNA from 1 species